UGUGAACUCGAAGAGUAGGGCGGGACACGUGGUAUCCUGUCUGAAUAUGGGGGGACCAUCCUCCAAGGCUAAAUACUCCUGACUGACCGAUAGUGAACCAGUACCGUGAGGGAAAGGCGAAAAGAACCCCGGCGAGGGGAGUGAAAAAGAACCUGAAACCGUGUACGUACAAGCAGUGGGAGCACCUUCGGGUGUGACUGCGUACCUUUUGUAUAAUGGGUCAGCGACUUAUAUUCUGUAGCAAGGUUAACCGUAUAGGGGAGCCGCAGGGAAACCGAGUCUUAACUGGGCGUUAAGUUGCAGGGUAUAGACCCGAAACCCGGUGAUCUAGCCAUGGGCAGGUUGAAGGUUGGGUAACACUAACUGGAGGACCGAACCGACUAAUGUUGAAAAAUUAGCGGAUGACUUGUGGCUGGGGGUGAAAGGCCAAUCAAACCGGGAGAUAGCUGGUUCUCCCCGAAAGCUAUUUAGGUAGCGCCUCGUGAACUCAUCUUCGGGGGUAGAGCACUGUUUCGGCUAGGGGGUCAUCCCGACUUACCAACCCGAUGCAAACUACGAAUACCGAAGAAUGUUAUCACGGGAGACACACGGCGGGUGCUAACGUCCGUCGUGAAGAGGGAAACAACCCAGACCGCCAGCUAAGGUCCCAAAGUCAUGGUUAAGUGGGAAACGAUGUGGGAAGGCACAGACAGCCAGGAUGUUGGCUUAGAAGCAGCCAUCAUUUAAAGAAAGCGUAAUAGCUCACUGGUCGAGUCGGCCUGCGCGGAAGAUGUAACGGGGCUAAACCAUGCACCGAAGCUGCGGCAGCGACACUAUGUGUUGUUGGGUAGGGGAGCGUUCUGUAAGCCUGCGAAGGUGUGCUGUGAGGCAUGCUGGAGGUAUCAGAAGUGCGAAUGCUGACAUAAGUAACGAUAAAGCGGGUGAAAAGCCCGCUCGCCGGAAGACCAAGGGUUCCUGUCCAACGUUAAUCGGGGCAGGGUGAGUCGACCCCUAAGGCGAGGCCGAAAGGCGUAGUCGAUGGGAAACAGGUUAAUAUUCCUGUACUUGGUGUUACUGCGAAGGGGGGACGGAGAAGGCUAUGUUAGCCGGGCGACGGUUGUCCCGGUUUAAGCAUGUAGGCUGAUUGUCCAGGCAAAUCCGGAUAAUCAAGGCUGAGGUGUGAUGACGAGGCACUACGGUGCUGAAGUAACAAAUGCCCUGCUUCCAGGAAAAGCCUCUAAGCAUCAGGUAACAUCAAAUCGUACCCCAAACCGACACAGGUGGUCAGGUAGAGAAUACCAAGGCGCUUGAGAGAACUCGGGUGAAGGAACUAGGCAAAAUGGUGCCGUAACUUCGGGAGAAGGCACGCUGGUGUGUAGGUGAAGUCCCUGCGGAUGGAGCUGAGACCAGUCGAAGAUACCAGCUGGCUGCAACUGUUUAUUAAAAACACAGCACUGUGCAAACACGAAAGUGGACGUAUACGGUGUGACGCCUGCCCGGUGCCGGAAGGUUAA
rnacentral:rRNA from 1 species